rnacentral:lncRNA from 1 species
GGAGGAUCUAUUCCAUGUCUCUGUCAUGAUCUUUGGCAUUCUCUGGCUAAUACCUGCAUUGCUUCAACUGUACCUAAACUGUUGUAUUCCCUUCUCACUGUGCCUGUGUCCAAAUUUCCCUCAUCUUCCAAGGACACUACCCAGGAUUUAUGGCCUACCUUAACCCACUAUGACCUCUUCUGGACUUGAUUACAUCUGCCAAGACACUGUUUCCAAAUCAGUAUGGUCACACUCAACAGGCACCAGGGUUAGGACUUGAGAUGCAGAAGAGACACACAACCACAUACAAGUCUCGGUGGGAAGAGCACAGGCUUUGGAGUGGUGCCAUCUUGGGCUCAGAGCCUGGUGCUGCCAUUCAGCCCACCCUCUGCUUCCUCUGCCCAGCAAAGUUGGAAGGACGGUUGGUCCAUCCGCCCAAGGGACUCCUAAAGAUCGCCUUACAGAGGAAGGACUGCAGAGCUCCAGGGAGCAUCUGAGAUGGAAGAAAUUUAGCAAAGAUGGCCUUGAACUGGUCCUUAGAGCUCAGAUGUCCCUGGAGAACUGUGCAGGGGAGUCCAGCUCCUCAUCCUCUCCCAGCCUGCUGGAGGAGGAGGAUCCAGGGCCGUUGGCCCCGAAACCACAAAACACUGGAUCGACUGGCAAGGAGCCCUUCAGCUUCCUGGGCCUCUCCCACAAGGUCCUGGCAGCCUUGGAGUGCCUGCCUUUCUUCCGCACCUGUGAGUGGUUCCUGGCUGAAGAGAAAGCAGCCCUGCAGCCUGAGGCUUCCACUGCAGGCUCAGACGUCACCUCUGGGUCCUCACACUCACCGGUCUCAGCAGGGUGCUCCUGUGAUGGUGGUCUGGAUGCCCCUCCCUCCAGAGCCAAAGCCCUUCAUGCCCCAGAAUUCGUGCCUUACUACAGGAGCCCUGAGGAGGAGCUGCAUACCAGCCUGGGGCCUUCUGCCUUGCUGUCUGGAAGAGACCAGGACCUGGUCGAGAAUGAGUCCUGGCACCCAGUUCUCAGCGAGGGUGGAAGCUGUCUGGAGGUGAGGUUCCCGCAGCUCAGUCAGUGUCCCAAGCCUCAGGCCUUUGUCCCCACUGCCUCGGGGCCCUCAAUCUCUGGCAAAGGACAUCUGCUGUCUGCUUGCAGUAGGAGCUGAACUGACCCUCUCAGGCUCACCCCACUCCCUCGGGGCACCACGCUGCAUCUGUUGGUGUGGCGGUGCUCCCUGUGCCCAGUGUCCACUCAAGCAGGCUUGUGGUUGGCCCAUCUCCUGGGGGAACAGAAGGGAGAAGCUCAGCUGCCCCACCCCACCAUAUGGAGUGACCCAUCCAGCCCCAGGCCAGGCUGCCACCACUUUCUUCUCCUAGCUUGAAAAACUGCCCCACAAGGAGUGAGCAGCCACACCUGAAGUGGUUCCACUGAGGAAUGCCUUGUCUGGGCCAGCACUCCAGCCUAGACUGCCUCUUCUGUAGCCUGCCCUAAGCUGGG